rnacentral:rRNA from 1 species
CACGUAGGCACCAAGCGUUGUCCGGAUUUAUUGGGCGUAAAGAGCUCGUAGGCGGUUCGGUAAGUCGGGUGUGAAAACUUUGGGCUUAACCCAAAGCCUGCAUCCGAUACUGCUGUGACUAGAGUUCGGUAGGGGAGCGGGGAAUUCCUAGUGUAGAGGUGAAAUUCGUAGAUAUUGGGAAGAACACCAGUGGCGAAGGCGGCUAACUGGUCCGGUACUGACGCUGAGGUGCGAAAGCGUGGGGAGCAAACCAGG